GAUGAACGCUGGCGGCGUGCUUAACACAUGCAAGUCGAACGGUGAAGCAGAGCUUGCUCUGUGGAUCAGUGGCGAACGGGUGAGUAACACGUGAGCAACCUGCCCCUGACUCUGGGAUAAGCGCUGGAAACGGCGUCUAAUACUGGAUAUGAGCUGCGACCGCAUGGUCAGCAGUUGGAAAGAUUUUUCGGUCUGGGAUGGGCUCACGGCCUAUCAGCUUGUUGGUGAGGUAAUGGCUCACCAAGGCGUCGACGGGUAGCCGGCCUGAGAGGGUGACCGGCCACACUGGGACUGAGACACGGCCCAGACUCCUACGGGAGGCAGCAGUGGGGAAUAUUGCACAAUGGGCGAAAGCCUGAUGCAGCAACGCCGCGUGAGGGAUGACGGCCUUCGGGUUGUAAACCUCUUUUAGCAGGGAAGAAGCGGAAGUGACGGUACCUGCAGAAAAAGCGCCGGCUAACUACGUG
rnacentral:rRNA from 1 species